rnacentral:rRNA from 1 species
AGUGAACGCUGGCGGUAGGCCUAACACAUGCAAGUCGAACGGCAGCACAGUAAGAGCUUGCUCUUACGGGUGGCGAGUGGCGGACGGGUGAGGAAUACAUCGGAAUCUACUUUUUCGUGGGGGAUAACGUAGGGAAACUUACGCUAAUACCGCAUACGACCUACGGGUGAAAGCAGGGGAUCUUCGGACCUUUCGCGAUUGAAUGAGCCGAUGUCGGAUUAGCUAGUUGGCGGGGUAAAGGCCCACCAAGGCGACGAUCCGUAGCUGGUCUGAGAGGAUGAUCAGCCACACUGGAACUGAGACACGGUCCAGACUCCUACGGGAGGCAGCAGUGGGGAAUAUUGGACAAUGGGCGCAAGCCUGAUCCAGCCAUACCGCGUGGGUGAAGAAGGCCUUCGGGUUGUAAAGCCCUUUUGUUGGGAAAGAAAAGCAGCAGGUUAAUACCCCGCUGUUCUGACGGUACCCAAAGAAUAAGCACCGGCUAACCUCGUG